AUGCUGCUUCCAUCCACAGGAGUCUUUGGGCAGGUAUCACAGAAUGGGUGAACAGCAGGGAAACUCGUGGGCUUGGCUUUAAGGCUAUUAGAUUUGUGUGAGAAUAAAGCUUCCUAGUGAGCUGUUUGGCUGUAAAAAGUCAUCUAUCUGCUUAUCGUCAUUAUUUUUAUUUAGACACAUUGCCUGUCAGCUCAGAUUUAUGUGGCUUAAAGUGUUGUGAUCCCAUGACACAUCAAUAUACAUUUGGGGGAGAAGCUUGUGGGGCUGGUCAGAGCCCUGAGAGUGGACGAGCUUUCGUGGGGAGAACAGAUGAGCAGAGAGAAAGAGACCCAAGCUAGAGCCUGAGGGAUUCGCGCAGCUCACAAAUGGAGAAGUGGGAAAUGUGCAGUAAACACACGGUGCUUGUAAAAGCAGACUGAGUUUAUAUUUGGAAGGAUUUACAACAAGAGGAUAGAAGUGCUGGACAACUUCACCCAACAACUGGAAACUUGAGAAGGGCUAUAUUGAGCAUGAAUUUAGCCCGUGGAAGAGCCAUUUGUACACAUCUGUGUUAAUAGAAAGGAAAGAAAAGGGAAGACAUGCUGAUUCCAAAAAUGUGCAAAUAAGCAAAAUGUCUAGCUUUGUAGCCCAAGUCUCUCUGUCUCUCUCAGAAGCCAAGGAAUGAUUAAAGUGUACCGGCAAGUGCAUUCAGAUGCUGCUAGGAGGAUAUGGCCUUAUUCUUGGUACUGCUGACUUACUAAGAAUACCCACUUCAGGGAGCUUUGCCAGUGUGAAGCCAAAGUUUUCUUGGAGCCCAAGAUCUGUGUUCACAGCUUGUGACUCAGGAAUUGCAUUUGCCCCAGAGGAAACACUCAUCUGACUCUCUGAAAAAACUCCAAUUCACUGGGUGUCAUCUGGCCUGAGAGAAGGGGCCCCUCUCCAGAUCCAGGUGGCAGCAUCUGUCUCACUGUCUCCCCUGGAAUGGCCACACCACCCGUGUGAACGUGGAUCUAGGAGGGAAAUUGUGAGGGAGCAUUGCGACUGCCACUUGGUGAGAACAGAAGCCACCGCCCUGAGGCUACUUGGAACUCUGAACCUCAGAAUCCGUGAUCACGCUUGGCGACUCGUGUUGGGGCCACCCUCACAUAUGGUCUACCUGCUGCUGUGCACAUUCUUGUAGUGCCUUCCUGGGAACAAGAACAAGAAUUCUUCUCAGGUCAUGAGAUUAUUUUCCAAACUGGAGGCUGAUCCAUUAAUAGAUCGUUAGAUCAAUUGGGACCUCAGGCAUCACCAGGACGUGUUGGAUUUUGUUGCACAAGUCGUAUCGCUGUGUAGCUAUGUCACCUUUGCCAGGAGGAGGUGGGGGGAGCUGGCCUUGGAUCCUCAACCACCACUUCAAAGUCACGACAGUGAAGCAGGGAAGAGCAAAACGUGAGUUGCUGAAGAGGAGGCACUGCUGUUCACAGCGUGACCUGCAGCUCUGGGGGUGACACCUGGUGCGGAGCAGGAGCUCAAGUCCAGGACUUCUCAUUGGUCAAUGUUCAGUAUACGAAUAUGAGGUCCUGCCCUGGUGAUGACGGUGGUCCCUCGUGAGCCCAUUCUUAUCCUUAUCUGACUAAGUGAUAAAAGUGUAUAAAACAUGCCAGUGGUGGAGUCAUGGCUGGAGGUGCCAUGCCUAACUCAGCAUCAGCACCUUGGGGUUUCUCGUUACCAUUUGAAGAGUUUGGGGGACUCAUAAUAUACGGAUUCUGUGCCAGAUGCCAGGUUGCUUUGGAUUUCACCACUAAAAUUUGGUCUGGAUGUAGAAGAGUGGCCAAAUUCAGAAACUCAUUUACAAGUGCACUUUUCAAAAGCAUCUUGACUUGGGGAGCAGGAGACUGGUACCCAAUCAGCACCAGCGUUCAGCGAGAUCAAGUUGGAUGUAUUCUGGUGUCGGUCCUGAAUGAGCAGGACAUCUCCCUCCUGUCACAAUCCACCCUCCUCGGGCUUGGGUUUCUGCAAAGACUAGUCUGCUCUUGGAUCUCAACCAAGAGCAUGACCCCCAAUGCACAUGCAUUCAAAGUGAUCCACUCAAAUAGAUUUUAAAAGUACAAAGUCAUCCAAUUCUUUCUAAAAACUCAAUGGUCUCAGCUGCCUAGUUGAAAAUAUGCUUUAUUUGUGUCAAACUAGUGUUUCUUAUGCAUUCUCCUGUGUCCUUGUAAGGGCACCACCAACUUGAACCAAGAGAAGUCCCACAAGUGAGGGUGGAAGACUUGCUGAGAGCUGAAGCCCCUUGGAGACAGGCGCUGGCGGGGCUCCAUUCCCCAGCGCCUGCUUUCAUCCAGAUGGCAGUUUGUCCUCAAUGUAAUCCAACAGGACACGUCCAAUUCCCUUUCUCCACCCCUGAGCUUUUCCAGGGGAAAAUGUGAUUCUGCCCUGCUUUUAGCAAAUUAAUGUUCCUGUGCUUUUGCUUUGCUAGUGCAUUUGAAAACAUAUGGACACUUUUGGCCAAAAAGAAGCCAUUUCUGAUUCAUUUGGCUAAAGUGUGAAUUUUUCCGAAUACAGUAAAAGCCCUGUUAUGAAAUGCUUUCUUCUAUCUUAGAAUCCAUUAGACCAUGAAGCAAACUUUUUCCGUGGAUGCACAGUAAGGCAUGCGGUUUAUUCCCGAGCCCAACUUCUGAUCUGUUCUUUGGAGAAGAGCCCUCCACCUGCCCCACUGCCUGGAGGGAAUCACUGACCUUUCCCAAGAGGGUCCUGCUCUGUCCUCACUGUGAGGUAAACUGAGGAGCUCCCCAAAAGAAAGCACAUAGGAGACAGUGCUCAGGAGCUGGAUAGAGAAGUCUGUUUAAGCUGUUUAAGAAAUGUGGAGGGAUGCUAGGAACGUGUAGGAAGAAGAGGCGAGAUGAGACUCCAGGCAGAGUCAUCCUGAGUCAGACUGGAUGGCGUUUAUGGGAGAGAAAAGUAGGGACUUCCUGGGAGAGAAGUAGUAAGGAACCGAGUGACAGUUGGUGAUGGCCACCAAACAGGGACUUCACGUUCUGUGUCUGCUGCAGCUGGGCAGGCCCCCAUGGAAUCCAGGGAGAGUGGGAUCUCUAAAAUGUUAAAUUUCCAAAGCACAUCAAAAGUGAAGGAAGGCACGUUAACCUUAAAAGGAACUUACAGAGAGUGGAACCAUGAUACGGAUCAGACUCAGAUUGAAAUUGUAGGCCUGUCCAUUGACAGAUGAAUGGAUAAAGAAGAUGUAAUACAUAUGUUCAACAGGAUACUACUCAGACAUCAAAAAA